UUGGGAAAAAAUGCAAAGAAUUAGCAUAGCAGAUUAUGGGGAAUUUUAUCUUUAUUAAUUUUUGAACUUGCCCUCUUCUCCUAGUUUCUUUAUUAUUGUGUACUGACGUUUUUGCAAAGUUCAUUUUCAGUUUCUAUUUUAUUUUUCCAAUGUUGGGGAAAGGUCUCAAGUGAGACAGAGAAGGCAGAAAUUCACCAGCAAAUCCAAACUAGGGAAAUCCCAGAGUUGAAGAGAAGCGACUUAAAGAAAGAAAACCUUACAAAAAGAAACAUGCUCGGGGAUACUCUUGUUUGCCGGUAAAAUGAUCUGCAGAAAAUUCUGAGAUAAGGGGUGUUAAAAGUAAGACAAUGCAGGCAUAAUUAUGAUCAGACUAUCAACUUUCCCCUUGUCUAAUGGGAGCCAAAGAAUGAUGUUUUAAUGCCCAGCUUCUAGAUGAAAUAUGUAUUAGCAAACUAUUCUAGGCUUUUAUAUUCCUUUAUUUUUGUUUUCAAAAAUUCCCAUAACAAUAUUCUAGUAUCCAUGCCACAUGAGGAUACAUUUCGUGCCAAAACCGGUUUCAGAAAUCUGCAGAUGAAAGGAGGAAGGUAUGCUGCAGCUGACGGCAGACACUUCUAAGGCAUCUUGCAAGGGCACAUAUUAAGCCUAGAAUGUACUAGCCAAUGUGGUACUGGACUGACGUGGCUCUUGGAUCUCAUGGUGGGACGACAUAGAAUGGACUUAUGAGAAAAGCCAGCUGGGGCUCCAGGAGUGACGCAGAGCAAAGAGAGGACCAGUGAAUAACUCUGGAUGGCAGAUAAAUCAUAGAGUGGAGAGAAAGGAGUGGAAGGCUUCAAUGAUGAUACUCUGUUUCCAUCAAUGACAGGUAAGCUUUUCAAACUGAAGCUGGUGAAAGACCUGAGUAAGUUUAUUUGCAAGUCAAGCCUGUUUGAGGCAUUCUGUUACUGGAAUAUUCCCAGAUUUCACUGGUCUGUGGUUACAAAUAAAGCUGAAAUAUUAAUAAUAUUCCAGUCUUGAUGGCUCACUAACUCCGACUGCAACAGAAGCUAUCAGGCCCCUGCAAAAUUCCCUCUCCCAAGACUUUUCAGUAGUCCCUGCAGUAUGUUCCAUAUGAGCUCUCCUGCAGGGCACUACCUCCUUCCCACCAGGCCUCCACUGAGUACUUCUGUCUCUGCUGACCACCAGUGAUGUAUGUCUGUUGUCACAAGUAGUAUCAGUUUCCUAUUGCUACCAUAACAAAUUACCAAAAAAUUUAUGGUUUAAAAUAAUAGAAAUUCAUUAUCUGAUAUUUCUGGAGGUCAGAAGUGUAAAAUGGGUCUUAUGGGGCUAAAAUCAAUAUGUUGGCAGAGCUAUAUUCCUUCUAGGGGAUUAAGGGGAGAAUCUACUUCCUUGCCUUUUACAGCUUCUAGAGGUUGCCUGCAUUUCUCAGCUCCGGACCCAUCUUCCGUUUUCAAAGUGCAUCACUCCAAGCUCUGCUUCCAUUUCCCCAUGACCACAUCUUUUUCUGACUCUUAACACUUCAUCCUCCUUCUUAUAAGGGCUCUUAUAGUUAAACUGGACCCUCUUGCAAAAUCUUGGGUAAUCUCCCCACCUCAAGAUCCUGAGCUAUUAAUAAAUCAUACCUGCCAGGUCCCUUUACCAUGUAAGGCAAUAUAUUCACAGGUUCUGGGAAUUAGGAUGUGGAAAUCUUUGGGGGGCCAUUAUUCGGCCCACCACAGAAGCUACCUGCCCAGACAUGGAUGCUGCCAUUUAUCUCCACCAAUGCCCUAGAAUUCUUACAAUACAGGAGUGGUGCUGGGUGUAAAACAAAAAAGGGGGUGGGGAGAAACAGGCAACACCCCACUCUAUGUCGUACCUCAGAAGCACAUGCUUCAAUAUCCCUGUGAGAAAAGUUGUCCAGCUUCUACUUCUGUUCCUCGGUGAAGAGCUCUGGUGAAAUUCAUAGGCCUGGGCUGGGGUCAUUCAUCAUGUGUUCUUCUCUAUCCACUAUACUUUAUUCCUGCAAGUGAACAUUCUCACAUACAACUUCCCCCGGCAGACCUUCUAAUGUGGAGAAUUAACACAUGUAUGUGGAGCUUGGGCAUAGUCAGCUCCUCAGUACCAACAUGCCUAAAUCUUAGCUUAGGCCUGUGUUCUCUUGAUAUAAUUCAUUAAUUUGAGAAUUCACUAAUCCAUCUUAAUUCAUUCCUGAAAAACUCACCACUAAAUGAAAAGCCAUUAUAUUGAAAAUGUUGUCAUUAAAUUUAAUGAGAAAAAGUACGACACAUCCCAUCUCAACCAGCCUCCUCCUAAGAUAUUGAAAGCAUGCAAUACUUGCACGUUCCUCUAUGACAUUCAUAUUAAUACAUUCACAUUCCAUUCAUUCACAAUAUGUGUUAAGAUGGACCUGCUGUGGGGUUAGAAGUUGGAUGGAUGAAGAAAGUCACUGCACAGGGUGGAUAACAUAAUAAAGGUAAUGUAUUGAAAACAAGCAUAGUUGACUCCAGCUUAAAAACAUCUUUUGUUUUUAUAUUGAUAUAAUAAUUGAUAUAAUAAUUAUGCACAUUAGUGGUAUAAUCACUUUGGUAGAUUCUCUGCUACCUCUGAUAGAAGCACUUAAUUAACAUAAUUCUAAUCAGAAUGUAGUAUAUAAUGAAAUCUGAACUACAAGGUAAAGUAUCACUUUUUAUAUUUAUUUAAUGGGUUUUUUGAUGAAACCAGCUAUAUCAAGAUAAAAAAGAAUUGUUGGAAAAGCGAUAAAACUUUUCAAAAGACAAUAUUUACUUUUGCUACAGGAAGAAAGCCUAUAUUUAUUAGACACUUAUUUAUGCCAAGCUCAGGGAUUUUAUGACAAAGAAACAAUCCCCAUAAUGAGGAGGUUCGCUGCUUAAUGGGAGAGGAAGUAUUAACACUGCACAGAAACAAAGCAAACCAUUAAUAUGGUUAUCAGGGAAUGAAUUGCUGAGCAAUUUAUAUUUUUUCAUUCAAUAUAUUGAUUUAAAAAUAUCAUACAGUGAACCUGCAUAACUUCUGUAAGUAGAAACACUUGUAAUUUAUCUUUACAUUAUCUACUUAGUGUAAGUUAAGCUACAAUUAAGCCACUGAGCACAUCCAACACUCAUCUCAAAACUAUCUCUUAUACCUUAGAAUUGGCGUUAUAUAAUUGUAAGCCACAUAUCUAAUUUAAAGAUGCUCUGUCAUGCUUCCUCCAGCACAGGCCUGACUCUCCCAAUCUUUAGGCUUUCUUGUAGGAGAUAUGAUUCUAGUUGGCUCAUGGGUUCUGACAAACUCCUUAGUAUUCCCAAGGGAGUUACAGAAUGUUUGAAUUGGAAAGGGCCUCGGAGCUUAAAAGUAACUUAUAAUUACAACUGGGAAAAUAGAGGCCUGGAUCAAUGAUAUGAGCUUGGCAGUAAUGUGAAUUAUUGGCACCAUGACCCUGGGCAGAAAUUACUCAUGUGCUUCUCUUAAAUAAGGUGCCAGUUUGGGCUUCAUAGGACCUACUACAAGAGAUCCUAAGAUGCCUAGCACCACUCAGCCUGGAUCAGAAUUAAUUAACAGCCAAAAUCCAAUGACUUCUUCCUGCACUUUCCAUAUCUCUCAAACUCUGCUGCCAAGAUCAGUUCCAGCAUGUUGGAGAAUAUAAUGUAAACCGUGGCACUACCCUCAAAUUUGGCUCCUUUUCUGGCUUUCUGGGCAGGCCAGCCACCUUUAGAAGUGACCACAUCUUUUUGAUGUCUCAUCAAUCGGCAGUGUGAUACUUGGUUGCUCAGUUGAUAUUUUCUCAGCACAGAUCACUUUGGCCUGUGACUUAAAAGGUGGGCUCUGGCAUAUUAUUCUUCAUCUCUCUCCAGCCUGGACUUGCUUCUGGGCCUAGUCUGUCCUGGCUAGACAAAGAUAUUAGUGAAACAAACAAAAGAAUUGCCCUCGAGCUGCCUUUUUCUCCUCAGCUCUGCUUAUACUCCUCACCAAGUUGUUGAAUUCCUCCUUGUCCCCUGUAACAUUAGAGGUUGGGGUUGGAGUACUCUUUUUUCCAUUGUGUGCAAAACUUCCAACUUUCUCCUUCGAAGUUAAGGGUGAUAAGCAGAGCACUCCAAAACAUUCUUUUAAAGAUUUCAUAGCUUAAUCACUCAGAGAUAAGUUUAAAGCUGAAAGAAAACUGUGUUAAAAUUCCAGAUCCCCCAGUUGCUUGCUAUGUAGCUUUGUGACUUCAGCCAAAAUUGAGUUUCUCCAUCUGCGAAACAAAGAUUAUAAUAGCACCAACUUACCGAGCAGAGACAUUGAAAUGAUGCAGGUAAAACCCUUAGAUGCAGUCCUGACAUGCAGUAAGAACUCAACAGGCAGUAGCUUUGAGUAUCCUUUCCUUCACUAACUCCCCAAACGCCACACUGGGACUCUCAUUUAUGGGAUCUGUGUGCUGACAUUCAAUGUGCAUACCCAGUUUGUGCCAAAUUAUAUUGUAACUGAUAAUUAGAUGCUGACAUUUAUGGUAUCGUAUCAGCACCCUUUUCUGGUUUUAAGAUCUAUUUUAAUAUUUUUGUUAUUUGGGGUUAUUUUUCUUAAUUUUGCUGAGCUUCAAAGAGGUCAGUGAUUUUAAAAUAGGCAUUCUCUCCAUCAUCUUUCUCAGAAGUACUGCCAAAUUAUUUUUCUAUUUUGAAUACACUAUUCUGAAUCUUUUCUCUGAACAUGAGUGUCAAAUUUGCUCUUAAUAAAACAUACUAAAAACUACAUGAUACUAAAAAACUAGGUGUAAAGAAAAAAAUAUAGAGUUUGUCACUUUAUUUUAUUUAAGAUAGAUGACCAAAUUGAUUUUUUAAUUUUCUUUUUCCUUUUUAAAUCUUGGAAAUCCCACAUAGGUCAAAUCCCAUGUUUUAAACAUUUUUUUUUUUUCUUGACUUCCUGGCUGUAAUGCAAUGAUUUGAUUUCUGUUUAGCUGAUAUUUCUUUUAUCAAUUCUCGCAUUGCUUCUCAUGUGACAAAAUAAAACUCUGAUUCUUUUUUCCAUUUUUGCAGAAAAGAAAAUAACCACUUGGCCCCAUUUCUAGUGGUUUUGCCUGUACCAGAAUGUCCUAGAGAAAUACAACCCGUUACAAACCUCAGAAUGUUAGGGGAAGAUGGAUGGCCUGGAAUAUUUUGAACAAUGUAAAUUGAGCAGAGUAUAGAAUAUCUGACAUUUUAAGCUAAGCUCUACUUUCUGGAAAAAAAGGAAAAUAUGGCUAAAAUAUUUCAAAGUGCAAAUCAGCCUUGAUUCCUUCAAAAUCAUUCAAAUAAUUGUAUGUGCUGAUGAGAACAAGUUCUUUGCUUUUUAAUGAUGGUGUAUAUGAGUAAUUCAGAGCCUUAUUUCAAGAUUACUGGUCAAUCUAUGCCUUUUACUGACAUUAACCUUCCUGUAAAAUGAGACCAUUUAAGUUCACCUUUCAAUUGACUGGCUGACAUUGUAAGUCACCUAUUCUGAGAUUUAAUCAAGUAUAAACUGAAAGUCUUCUUUAGGUCAUGUUACCUAGUCUAGUAAAAUUUGUUUGAAACAAGGCCCUUAAUGCUGAUCAUCGAGCUCACACUGCCCUGGGUUCAUGAUUUCCUUAACUCAUUGCUUUCUGAAAUCUUUAUUUGCUUCAGUUUUCUUUGUUUCCGUUUUUCCCCAUCACCCUGUGCAGGAAAGGUGAGCGCUAACUCUAUUGAGUGUGUUUGUUGCCAUGGUGAGGAAAAUAGUACAAUUCCCCAGUUAAUAAAGAGUAUCAGGGUGAGGAAGAUAUUUCUUCCAAGCUCCCACGAUUUUCAUUUCAUUACAGUGGAACUAAAGAGCACUGACAGGCCUGUUGAUGCAAAAUCUUAUGUUAGAUGUAGUUCAUAAUGUCAUGCUAUUCACUCAGAAUAUAUAGUACUUUCCUUGGAGAAAUUAUUUAAAAUGCUUGCAAUGGAGAAACAUUUGAAAAGGGACUUCAUGUGGUCAUUUACUUCCUAAAUAAAGAACUGGUAUUCUAUAGAUUUCCAUUUUGAGAACUGGACAGUACAGAGUAAUAUUGCUGCAAAAUCCCUUAUUAAUUCAUGCUUUAAAAAAUGAUUUGUGGCUUUUCUAAAGGAAAAUGUCUUCAUUUAGCUGUCCCAUCUAAACUUGGGUGUGGAAAGCAUGAAGAACCUAUCUUUCACAAGUACAAAGGGUAAUGCAUUUUUAGUAAUGUAUGUGGUUCUGAACAAAAAAUCUUUUACUCUUAUCCCUUCUCUCUCAUUUCUUCUACUUACUUCCAUCUCUUCUACUUACUCCUCCUACUCACCCCAACCUCUCUUUACAUGCACUUAUAGAUUCACAAGAGCCAAAUGUGUCAGGAAUUUUUACUAGAAGACAUAGAAGAAAGUAGCUAAGGUUCAAUAGUGUAGCUGAAUGUCUCCCAUGAAUUUUUUAUUUGUUAGGUAAUUCCAAACACCACAGCUGAACCUUGUGUAAGAGGUCAUGUCAACUUCACAAUCUUUCAUUAAAAUGGAAACAAAUAGAAAACUUUCUUAAUUGCAUUUUUUUCUACUUAUCUAAGUCUAAUUU